rnacentral:rRNA from 1 species
CGAUCCGGUGACGGAUGGGCAUGCGUGACAUUAGCUAGUCGGCGGGGUAACGGCCCACCGAGGCGACGAUGUCUAGGGGUUCUGAGAGGAAGGUCCCCCACACUGGUACUGAGACACGGACCAGACUCCUACGGGAGGCAGCAGUGAGGAAUAUUGGUCAAUGGGCUUACGCCUGAACCAGCCAAGUCGCGUGAGGGAAGACUGCCCUAUGGGUUGUAAACCUCUUUUGUCAGGGAGCAACGCCGGCUACGUGUAGCCGGACUGAGAGUACCUGAAGAAAAAGCAUCGGCUAACUCCGUGCCAGCAGCCGCGGUAAUACGGAGGAUGCGAGCGUUAUCCGGAUUUAUUGGGUUUAAAGGGUGCGUAGGCGGAAUGCCAAGUCAGCGGUAAAAUCGCGGGGCUCAACCUCGCUCCGCCGUUGAAACUGGCGUUCUUGAGUGGGCGAGAAGUAUGCGGAAUGCGUGGUGUAGCGGUGAAAUGCAUAGAUAUCACGCAGAACUCCGAUUGCGAAGGCAGCAUACCGGCGCCCAACUGACGCUGAAGCACGAAAGCGUGGGUAUCGAACAGGAUUAGAUACCCUGGUAGUCCACGCAG